rnacentral:rRNA from 1 species
GAAGAGCUUGCUCUUCAAAUCGAGUGGCGAACGGGUGAGUAACGCGUGAGGAACCUGCCUCAAAGAGGGGGACAACAGUUGGAAACGACUGCUAAUACCGCAUAAGCCCACAGCUCGGCAUCGAGCAGAGGGAAAAGGAGCAAUCCGCUUUGAGAUGGCCUCGCGUCCGAUUAGCUAGUUGGUGAGGUAAUGGCCCACCAAGGCGACGAUCGGUAGCCGGACUGAGAGGUUGAACGGCCACAUUGGGACUGAGACACGGCCCAGACUCCUACGGGAGGCAGCAGUGGGGAAUAUUGCACAAUGGGGGAAACCCUGAUGCAGCGACGCCGCGUGGAGGAAGAAGGUCUUCGGAUUGUAAACUCCUGUUGUUGAGGAAGAUAAUGACGGUACUCAACAAGGAAGUGACGGCUAACUACGUGCCAGCAGCCGCGGUAAAACGUAGGUCACAAGCGUUGUCCGGAAUUACUGGGUGUAAAGGGAGCGCAGGCGGGAGAACAAGUUGGAAGUGAAAUCCAUGGGCUCAACCCAUGAACUGCUUUCAAAACUGUUUUUCUUGAGUAGUGCAGAGGUAGGCGGAAUUCCCGGUGUAGCGGUGGAAUGCGUAGAUAUCGGG